rnacentral:rRNA from 1 species
CCCAGCGCAGAACGUUCCGGGGCACUCGCCCUGAGAAUGAAUGUUGCGUUAAGGAUAUUGGCAUACACCCAUGGCAGUUACACUUUGCUAAGUCAGCCUCGAAUGGUUCUCGUGAAGCCGGUAACACGGUGAGACUCCAGGGAGGGUGUUAGACCCGUGUGAAGGUGCAAUCUGCUUGGGCAAGCCGAUAUCCCGAGAGUCGCGUUGUUUGAACAUGCAGCGCUAAGCAGGUCGUAGACUCGAUCUAAGGCUAAAUAUGUCCACAGAACCGAUAGUUAACAAGUACCGUGAGGGAAAGUUGAAAAGCACUCCGUAACGGAGAGUCAAAAGACCGUGAAACCACUCAGAGUAUAAGCCAAUGGUGUCUGGAAGGUCCUGUGCUUACAUCUUGGUGUCAAGGACUCAUGCGAACCUCAGCACUUGCGGGAGCAAUCUCCGUUGCUUUGGUAAGCUUGUCCGCUGAAGCACUCCGUUGACCCACCUGGCUCGUUGUGAGGUGUCCUGAGAGCAAAGCGAAGUGUUAAGAUUGGCUUGGAGUUGGGCGUGGGCGUCUCGAUGCCUUUCGCACUCUCCUUUUCGAGCACUUCUUCAGUUCUAUUCGCACAAAGUGUGGUAGUCUUGGAGUGUGCGCUGCUUGACGCUCUCUGGAACCAUCCUCUGCGACGAAGCUUCAAUGCCUUAGUGAGCGGCCGUCUUCCUCCUCGGGAGUCGGUACAUUGGCGCGGCUUGCACACUGUCGGUGCUCCGCUGUUCAACUCUGGCGCAAGGUGUUACGUCCGAUACCAUUGGUCACGUCUCGAAACACGGGCCAAGGAGUAUAGCGUGUGUGCAAGUCUAAGGGUUCCACAAAACCUGGAGGCGUAGUGAAAGCGAGUUAUGGUGUCUCACUGGACUGAUGGAGAAGGCAGUGAUGCGUGAUCCCGCAAGUCCCGGACUCGUCGUCUGCACUGCUUCGGUUGUGUUAGCGCGAGCACCGCAGAGCACAUACGCUAUGACCCGAAAGAUAGUGAACUAUGCUUGGCGAGGGUGAAGCCCCAGGAAACUGGGGUGGAGGCCCGUAGCCGUUGUGACGUGCAAAUCCA